UAAGUCCUACGGGACGCAGCAGUGGGGAAUAUUGGGCAAUGGACGCAAGUCUGACCCAGCAACGCCGCGUGAAGGAAGAAGGCUUUCGGGUUGUAAACUUCUUUUAAGGGGGAAGAGUAGAAGACGGUACCCCUUGAAUAAGCCACGGCUAACUACGUGCCAGCAGCCGCGGUAAUACGUAGGUGGCAAGCGUUGUCCGGAUUUACUGGGUGUAAAGGGCGUGCAGCCGGAGAGACAAGUCAGAUGUGAAAUCCACGGGCUCAACUCGUGAACUGCAUUUGAAACUGUUUCCCUUGAGUGUCGGG
rnacentral:rRNA from 1 species